UACGGAGGAUGCAAGCGUUAUCCGGAUUUAUUGGGUUUAAAGGGUGCGCAGGUUGUUUGAUAAGUCAGUGGUGAAAGUCUGUCGCUUAACGGUAGGAUUGCCAUUGAUACUGUUGGACUUGAAUAUGGAUGAGGUAGGCGGAAUGUGUAGUGUAGCGGUGAAAUGCAUAGAUAUUACACAGAACACCGAUUGCGAAGGCAGCUUACUAAUCCAUCAUUGACGCUGAGGCACGAAAGCGUGGGGAUCAAACAGGA
rnacentral:rRNA from 1 species